rnacentral:lncRNA from 1 species
GUCUCAGCCCACCACCUGCAGGGGACCCGCCGCCCAGGGCUGGGCAGAGUGUCGGGCAGCCCCCGCGCGGAGAGCGCUCUGGCCAGCGAGGGGAAAGAAGCGAACGGCGAAGAUGCGCAAAAGACGCUCGUUGGACGGUGGGUCCCGGCACCUUACCAGGGGGCAGAGGCAGCCACGCGCUCCCCCCGGGCCCCUUCCAGAGAGGUUUGCAGCGCCCACCUGAGGGGACACAAACUGCCAGCGCCGACCGAGGGCGCGGCCCGGGGUUCGCGCAGCGUGCGCCACCCCCAGACGUCACGGAGGGCAGAACCACGCUAGAUGAAGUUAGACAGUGACAGUGGAAGGACAGAGCCGCACCGAGACAGGCACAUUCUGCAAGGGAGGAAGGCAGACAAUGGCAGCAGCCGAAACACCUGAGAUCUCUCGAUACAAUAAAACGUGGACGAUGAUUGGAGUCAUUUCUGCCUCCGCUUCCAGAGGGAGCUCAAACCUGACGCAUCAGUUAUCCAUCUCCAACGUGUAAAACAGGACACUCGCGAAACCUGCUAGGGACACCACCGCCCGCACCUGGCGGGGGUUACCUUUUGCAAACAGAAAAGGAGACCUGACUUUUUUCAAUUUAGUGCUUGUGUGAACCUAAGGUCGGGGCUUGCGCAGGGUAAUACACUCCUUUGACCCUCUGGAGACUAGAACUGAGCAAAGGGAAAUCAGGCGAGGGAAACGGAAGAUGCUGAGAAGAGAGUAGCGAGCGGAAGGCUAGUAGGUGGUGCGCAGGGGCUGCUUGGACCCCGCGGCGGGACCCGGCUCCAGCGUGGGCAAAUCACAGGGCGCCCGGGCCCAGGACUCUGGGCAGACCUGGCAGAAAUGCGGCCACGUGCUCAGGGCUCCUGUGCUCUGGCUCUGCAUUUCGGGGUGAGCUGCACACACACGCCCACACACACGCACACAGCGGUGCAUGCCUCUCUCCUGGCGCUGGGGUCCCUCUGAGGUUGUCCAGACAGCGGAACCUCACAAGUUCCCGCCGAGCACGGCCACUUGACGAUUUCGCUCACGCUGGAUGAGGGGUAGCUCUAGCCCGGGAUGGAGGGCAGACGGAAGCGCCUGUCGUGUGGGGAACCAGCCCGGCGCCAGGGAAGGGCUGAUGGAGUGGCAGAUCCUGGGGAGGGGCGGCGUCCACCUUAGCUUGGGGCUCCUCCCCGCCAUUCGGUCCGGCCACCUGUCAUCUCGAGCUCGCCUGGGUCCUCGUCCCGCCCCGCUCUGCGCAGCCACGCGACAACCCCUGCCAGCCCGAGCUGCGCGCCCUGGUGGCUCCCGGCUGCCCCGGCCCUGAGAGCCAGGGCUCACCCCUCACUGAAGCCUCUAGAUACAAACAGCACAAGCGCCGCUUUUCCUGCAUCCAAAUCUCGAUCUUAUCCUACCACCCAGCAAAUGACUCGCCGGUACUUGGGAUGGUGGUUGUUCUCUUAAAAGUAUAUUAAAGGAUCAUUGGCGUCUCCCUGGCAAG